rnacentral:lncRNA from 1 species
CACACAUAAAGGCAAUGCUCUGGGGCAUUCUGUCUGUGACAAUCCUUUUGGGGCCUUGGUAAAUCUGUGGCCUUACUGAGUCUUACUUUAAGCAAAGGAGGUUGAAGAACGUCAGCCCAUGGUGCGUCCAGGAAGAAGAGGUGACUAGCCAUGGGUGGCCUGCCAGCUGCCUCCCCCAUCCUGCGGCAGAACUUCUUUCAGACUGAGUCACAUCAGAUCAGGCUACAAGUUGACCUGAUCAAGAAAUUCUUCAGACCCUCGUUUAUAUCUUUUGGCUAAGUGAACCUGGAGAAGGAAUUGUAAAUUACGGAAUAAUAGUCAAAGUUUGAAAAGGGGGAUCUGCCAGGUAGGAAAUAAAUUCUCUUUUAAAGAACCCA